ACAUAUUUUAGAGCCUAAUUCAUUUUAAUUAAAAAUCAAAAUUACAUUCAAAUCCAAAUUUAAAAUUCUAAUGCUAAAAUUUUUCCUCAAAUAAAUUUAUUGUAAUACAUCUCUACUUUAAAAAGCUGCACCUUGAUCUGAUUUUUAAUUUAAUAAAAUAUUUUAAUUAUAUAUUUUUAAAAAUAAUUUUUCACGACGAUAUACAAGCAAAAUUUAAAGUUUUAUUAAUCGUGGAUUAUCGAUUACAGGACAAAUUCCCCUGAUUGGAAUAAAAAACCGCCAAAUUUUUUGAUUUUAAAGAACAUAACUAAUAUUCAUCAAGUCUUGUUAUAUAUCUACGUCUAGAAUAAUGGGGUAUCUAAUCCCAGUCUAAUUACUAGAUUUCUUAACUUCAUAAUCAGAAAAUUAAUUUAAUAGAAAAUAAGAUUUCACCCAAUAUUUACUAAAAUAAAAAUCAACUUUUAUUAAUUAAGUAUUAAAACUGUUUUAAAAUAAUAGUAUUAUUUGUUUAACCGCA
rnacentral:rRNA from 1 species